rnacentral:sRNA from 1 species
CCGCGCGCGGACCUGCAGCCAUGGCAGUCGCCGCCCAGGCAGCCCGCAGGAAGGAGCGCGUCCUCUGCCUGUUUGACGUGGACGGGACCCUCACGCCGGCUCGCCAGAAAAUUGACCCUGAGGUGGCCACCUUCCUGCAGAAGCUGCGAAGUAGAGUGCAGAUCGGUGUGGUGGGCGGCUCUGACUACUGUAAGAUCGCUGAGCAGCUGGGUGACGGGGAUGAAGUCAUUGAGAAGUUUGAUUAUGUGUUUGCCGAGAACGGGACGGUGCAGUAUAAGCAUGGACGACUGCUCUCCAAGCAGGUCAGUGUCCCCCAGGACUUAGCCAGGGGCACCCCACUUUUCCAUAGUGGAGCAGUCCAAGGGGGCUUCUGUCCUGGGCUGGGGGAGAGAUACUGUGCCUGUCUCAGGGUCAGGCAGCCCAGGCCACUCUCAGAGCCCUGUGUUCCUUGGCCAGACCAUCCAGAACCACCUGGGGGAGGAGCUGCUGCAGGACUUGAUCAACUUCUGCCUCAGCUACAUGGCCCUGCUCAGGCUGCCCAAGAAGCGGUGAGGUCCCACCAGCCUGGUCUCCAGAACCUGGGGCCUGAGGGAGGAGAAGUGUGGGUCCCUCAGAGGGAGCCUGGAGAUACUUGGGCCCCUGAUUUUUUGCGGGGAGUGUGGAUUCUUGUCCCCUUUGAAGUCCUAGGACGCUGGGGUCCCAGGUGGGGCUAGAUUUGAAUUCAGGGCUGUUCUGGUUCUCUCUGGCUCCCCGCCCUCCCUCACCACCAGUGGAACCUUCAUCGAGUUCCGGAAUGGCAUGCUGAACAUCUCGCCCAUUGGCC